GAGUUUGAUCAUGGCUCAGAUUGAACGCUGGCGGCAGGCCUAACACAUGCAAGUCGAGCGGCAGCGCGGGGCAACCUGGCGGCGAGCGGCGGACGGGUGAGUAACGCGUAGGAAUCUACCCAGUAGCGGGGGAUAGCCCGGGGAAACUCGGAUUAAUACCGCAUACGCCCUAAGGGGGAAAGCAGGGGAUCUUCGGACCUUGCACUAUUGGCAGAGCCUGCGUUGGAUUAGCUAGUUGGUAGGUAAAGGCCUACCAAGGCGACGAUCCAUAACUGGUCUGAGAGGAUGAUCAGUCACACCGGAACUGAGACACGGUCCGGACUCCUACGGGAGGCAGCAGUGGGGAAUAUUGGACAAUGGGGGCAACCCUGAUCCAGCCAUGCCGCGUGUGUGAAGAAGGCCUUCGGUUG
rnacentral:rRNA from 1 species